rnacentral:rRNA from 1 species
GACGAACGCUGGCGGCGUGCCUAAUACAUGCAAGUUGAGCGCUGAAGGUUGGUACUUGUACCUACUGGAUGAGCAGCGAACGGGUGAGUAAAGCGUGGGGCAUCUGCCUUUGAGCGGGGGACAACAUUUGGAAACGAAUGCUAAUACCGCAUAAAAACUUUAAACACAAGUUUUAAGUUUGAAAGAUGCAAUUGCAUCACUCAAAGAUGAUCCCGCGUUGUAUUAGCUAGUUGGUGAGGUAAAGGCUCACCAAGGCGAUGAUACAUAGCCGACCUGAGAGGGGGGUCGGCCACAUUGGGACGGGGACGCGGCCCAAGCUCCUGCGGGAGGCAGCAGUAGGGAAUCUGAGGCAGUGGACGAAAGUCUGACCGAGCAACGCCACGUGAGUGAAGAAGGUUUUCGGAGCGUAAAGCUCUGUUGGUAGAGAAGAACGUUGGUGAGAGUGGAAAGCGCAUCAAGUGACGGUAACUACACAGAAAGGGACGGCUAACUACGUG